ACCCAGAACCUUGAUUUUCGUAAUAAUAUAGCUCUAUAAAUGGCUAGGGUUUCUUUAAACUUAUAAGAGAGAGACUUUUAUAAAAAGAAAAUAAUAAAUAACCCAAGAGGCUUUUAAAAAAUAAUAACGUAAUGGGUUGGGCUGGGCCUUCUUUAAUACAUCUACAACAUAAAAAAUACUCUAUGAUAAUAAUUUAUUUAACCUCGUGAAUAUGAGCACAUCAUCC
rnacentral:lncRNA from 1 species